rnacentral:lncRNA from 1 species
AGGAACUGAAGAGAAAUUUUAGUCAAGAAAAGCUACAGAAUUGAAAUGAGCUGAAGGAUGAACUAAAACUUCUUGCCAGAGAGCUACAGUUCUCUCAGGUUGAAGAAGCAAAAGGGGACUGAGAACUAAAACCACCUGCAUCAAUAUAACAGAGAUAUUCAGAGUAAGAACUGAGAAUACCUGUGUCAACACAACUUAGUUUUUUGUUCCAGGAAACCUUUGCCCAGUAAAUAUAAGACUAUAAAAACCAAUAAAUUAUAUCACUGUUUGUUUCAGGCAACUGCUGCAAAACAACUUAUCUG